AUUGAACGCUGGCGGCAGGCCUAACACAUGCAAGUCGAACGGUAACAGGAAGCAGCUUGCUGCUUUGCUGACGAGUGGCGGACGUGUGUGUCAUGUCUGGGAAACUGCCUGAUGGAGGGGGAUAACUACUGGAAACGGUAGCUAAUACCGCAUAACGUCGCAAGACCAAAGAGGGGGAGCUUCGGGCCUCUUGCCAUCGGAUGUGCCCCGAUGGGAUUAGCUAGUUGGUGGGGUAACGGCUCACCUAGGCGACGAUCCCUAGCUGGUCUGAGAGGAUGACCAGCCACACUGGAACUGAGACACGGUCCAGACUCCUACGGGAGGCAGCAGUGGGGAAUAUUGCACAAUGGGCGCAAGCCUGAUGCAGCCAUGCCGCGUGUAUGAAGAAGGCCUUCGGGUUGUAAAGUACUUUCAGCGGGGAGGAAGGGAGUAAAGUUAAUACCUUGGCUCAUUGACGUUACCCGCAGAAGAAGCACCGGCUAACUCCGUG
rnacentral:rRNA from 1 species